rnacentral:rRNA from 1 species
AUUGAACGCUGGCGGCAGGCCUAACACAUGCAAGUCGAGCGGAUGAAGGGAGCUUGCUCCUGGAUUCAGCGGCGGACGGGUGAGUAAUGCCUAGGUAUCUGCCUGGUAGUGGGGGAUAACGUCCGGAAACGGGCGCUAAUACCGCAUACGUUCUGAGGGAGAAAGUGGGGGAUCUUCGGACCUCACGCUAUCAGAUGAGCCUAGGUCGGAUUAGCUAGUUGGUGGGGUAAAGGCCUACCAAGGCGACGAUCCGUAACUGGUCUGAGAGGAUGAUCAGUCACACUGGAACUGAGACACGGUCCAGACUCCUACGGGAGGCAGCAGUGGGGAAUAUUGGACAAUGGGCGAAAGCCUGAUCCAGCCAUGCCGCGUGUGUGAAGAAGGUCUUCGGAUUGUAAAGCACUUUAAGUUGGGAGGAAGGGCAGUAAGUUAAUACCUUGCUGUUUUGACGUUACCAACAGAAUAAGCACCGGCUAACUUCGUG